UACGAAGGGGGCUAGCGUUGUUCGGAAUCACUGGGCGUAAAGCGCACGCAGGCGGAUCGAUAAGUCGGGGGUGAAAGCCCGGGGCUCAACCUCGGAAUUGCCUUCGAUACUGUCGGUCUCGAGUCCGGGAGAGGUGAGUGGAAUUCCUAGUGUAGAGGUGAAAUUCGUAGAUAUUAGGAAGAACACCAGUGGCGAAGGCGGCUCACUGGCCCGGUACUGACGCUCAGGUGCGAAAGCUAGGUGAGCAAACGGG
rnacentral:rRNA from 1 species